GCUGCUGCUGCUGAAGCAACACAAACCCUCCGCGCACACCGACAGCGGAGCAGAGAGAGAGAGAGAGAGAGAGGAGCACAGUGAGCAGGAGGGAGGCGGUGCUGCACGGACAACUGCGUCCCACUCCUAACGCAAACAACCUCGCAUCCACCAGCACAGACUAUACUUCUUACCACUCCGACUUUCACUUGAUCACAGCUUUCUCGUUCACGACGGAGGGAAGCUGCGCGGACAUUAGAGCUUCCAGGCCUCCAAGGAUGGACUCCAUACCUGCGGGGCGAGACUCCAGCUCCUCGCCAAGCUCCAAACAAGAACUUUCCUACCCGACCUCCAAGAACCUGAAGCCUAACCAGGUCGGAGAGACGGUGCUGUACGGAAUACCGAUCGUGUCUUUGGUGAUAGAUGGCCAGGAGAGACUUUGCCUUGCACAGAUAUCAAACACCCUGUUGAAGAAUUACAGCUAUAACGAGAUACACAACCGGCGUGUGGCGCUGGGGAUCACCUGCGUUCAGUGCACUCCUGUCCAACUGGAGAUCCUGCGGAGAGCCGGGGCGAUGCCAAUCUCCUCCAGGCGCUGCGGGAUGAUCACUAAACGAGAAGCCGAGAGACUUUGUAAGUCGUUCCUAGGAGCUCAUUCGCCUCCUAAACUUCCAGAAAAUUUUGCCUUCGAUGUGUCCCACGAAUGCGCCUGGGGGAGUCGAGGUAACUUCAUCCCUGCCAGAUACAACAGCUCCAGGGCCAAGUGCAUCAAGUGCUCCUAUUGCAACAUGUAUUUUUCUCCAAAUAAAUUCAUAUUUCAUUCGCAUCGCACGCCAGAGUCCAAGUACACGCAGCCAGAUGCAGCUAAUUUCAAUUCUUGGAGGCGGCAUCUCAAAUUAUCAGAUAAAGGCAGCCAGACAGAUGUAUUACACGCAUGGGAAGACGUGAAGGCCAUGUUCAAUGGGGGCAGUCGCAAGAGGACGCUGCCAUGCAGUGGGUCGUCUUCCAGCUCUUCAUUAAAACCACAAGGACCAAACCGUCCCCGAGACUCACCCGAGGUACCUGCAAAAAUCCUCAGCUGCGAGGACAACCGGGGCGGCAUGGCGAGCACGCGCAGCUACCCGGUCAUCCCCGUGCCCAGUAAAGGCUUCGGGAUGCUGCAAAAGAUCCCGCCGCCACUCUUCCCUCAUCCGUACGGGUUCCCAGCUUUCGGCCUGUGCCAGAAGAAAGAUGACAGUAUGAUGGGAGAGCAGAGCAAAGCAGGCCUCCCGGGCGUCCUGUGGCCUGGUACCAAGGACAGCGCCUAUCACUCCUUCCCCAUGUUCUGGCCCGCGGCUGGCGCGCUGCCCAUGCCUCCGUACCCCCAGACUCAGCACAAACCCCCACCAGAGCUGCUGUGUCCUCCCAGACAGACAGACAUGGACAUAUCUGAGCACAGCGACCGGAGCACCAACACGUCAAAAGACAGCAUGGUCGAAAACGAGCGCUGCUCCAGCACCCAGUCCACGCGUAACGAAGACGAUAAGUCCGGCGACGAGGCGAGGCCGCUGGAGGGGAUGACCCUUGCGCCCCGGAAGAUCAGCUACGUCUCCGCGUUCAGACCCGUUAUUAAAGAUGCUGACUGUAUUGCCAAGCUUUACGGCAACAGGGGCGCUUACAACGGGUGUCGCACCGGCUAUUUAUCGCCCGAUUUUUUAAGCGAGAGCUCGAGCUAUCGGUCCAUGUCCCCCUGCGUGGACAGCGAGGGCGAGCCGGAUGUGGACGUGGAGACGAAUAAAACACCAGAGGAGGAGGAGGACUCCCGGCCUCUGCCCUCGGUGUGUCCUCGGACUCCUCCCGGCUUGGCUCACAGUGUUUCACCAAACGACUCAGACUCCAAGGCCAUGCAGGAGAGCAGCCUGGUUGACUCCCAGAAAAUGAGUCUACACGUGGUCCAGUCCUCUGAAAGAGAACUGCAGGACAAGCAGUUAUCAGAGACCCACAUAGCUGCGUCUUUUACCGAAGUGUACACACCGGAGAGGGGUGAGCUGCAACAAAGGAGCAGUCCGUAUCAGUUCAGACCUGCGAAUUACCAGACUGGAGUACUUACAACAAAUGAUGAGAGUUCAAGUAAAGAAGAGCCGUCGUCCACAGUGGAGGAGAUCGAAACGAAAUCUUUUAAUGAACAAAGCAGCGAGGAGAUCCAGCGAGAGCCGGAUGAGGGCGAGGACGCCCCAGCCAGAGCUCUGCCAGCACAAAGAGCCAUAGAAAGUCUGGCAAAAGAAGAACUACAGAAGCAGCUGUUAGAGCAAGUUGAGCUGAGGAAAAAGCUGGAACGUGAAUUUCAAAACUUGAAAGAUCUCCAGACAGGAAAAAACAAAGGACUGUCAUGUAAGAUAAUUUUCAGGAUCAAAUGAAAAGGGAGCUUUCCUAUAGGGAGGAGAUGGUUCAACAGCUUCACAUCGUCAGAGCUCACGACGCUUUACACCAUUUCUCGUGUAAGAUGUUGACUCCUCGCCACUGCACCGGAUCCUGUUCCUUCAAAUCCCCCCUGCUACCACCCUGAACCAGAAUAUACACACAUUUAUAUGACAGAGAAACCAAGGGCACAUCUACAGCCUCUGUCAAACCAUGAAAAACUUCCAGGGACACUCUUGAAAUCACGUCGAAAGAAGACUAACCUGUAAUUACUUGUACAAUUUUAAAAACGUGUAUCUCCACCUUCAGCAUUCAUGUAACCAUCUUGCAUACGGUGACAUUUGUUUUACUGAAGUUAUACCAUUGAUGAUAUUUAUUAUUUGUGGCAAAGUGCAAUGACAAUGUAUGUAUCUUGUAGCUUAAUAGUUAUAGGUUGUUAUUUUGUUUUUUUGUUGUCAAUAAUAGCAGCUUUGACUAGCCAAUUCAUUGCUCCUUAUCCUCUCAGUAUUGUGAAUUAGCCUACUACUUUUGCUGUGGUUGUCUUUGCAAGCCAAUAGCUUACUUUGGAUGUUAUGCACUUUAAAUGAGUGAUGGGGAAUUACCAUAAACAGCUUGUGCAUUGAAAUAAGCCUACAGUAUAAUUAUUUGUAGUGGUCAAACCAUGCCUAUUUGUUUUUGAAGACUUAAAAAAACACAGAAGUUAGUAGGCUAUAUUAGUAGGCACCCUCACCUUGUAAGUAUCGACAGUUCUAUUAAGAGUAGCCUAUUUGUUCAUGUAAUAUUUGUUUUCAUCGCUAUUGAAUAAAUCAUUUUAUUAAAGAAA